rnacentral:lncRNA from 1 species
CAUAGUCUCGCCCUGAUCUCCCUUUCUUCAACCUCUUUAUCCUACCAAAAGAUGGACCAUCGGCCAACACAUUCUAAAGGUUAUGAUCCUUUGAAUUCUUAACCAUUUAUUCCACUAACAACCUAUUGUUAUCAACUAAACUACCUAACUAUCAAUCUAAUUCUCAAGGUUAUCAAUAACCAACUAGUAACUUAUCACA